rnacentral:rRNA from 1 species
GUGGGGAAUCUUGCGCAAUGGGCGAAAGCCUGACGCAGCCAUGCCGCGUGGAUGAUGAAGGUCUUAGGAUUGUAAAAUCCUUUCACCGGUGAAGAUAAUGACUGUAGCCGGAGAAGAAGCCCCGGCUAACUUCGUGCCAGCAGCCGCGGUAAUACGAAGGGGGCUAGCGUUGCUCGGAAUUACUGGGCGUAAAGGGAGCGUAGGCGGACAUUUAAGUCAGGGGUGAAAUCCCGAGGCUCAACCUCGGAACUGCCUUUGAUACUGGGUGUCUUGAGUGUGAGAGAGGUGAGUGGAACUCCGAGUGUAGAGGUGAAAUUCGUAGAUAUUCGGAAGAACACCAGUGGCGAAGGCGACUCACUGGCUCAUUACUGACGCUGAGGCUCGAAAGCGUGGGGAGCAAACAGGAUUAGAAACCCUUGUAGUCC